CCAGGCGUAUAAAUAAAGCGAACGCCCUUCUGAAGCCCUUUGUAUAACUGACUGAAUCCAUCAAGUUGUUUUAAAGAAAAUGUCUGUUUCGAGUGAUGUACAGUAUAGGUUCAGCACGCUAAUUCUGCGACAGUAGGUUCCUGCCUUAUUUGGAUAGGCUUCAGGAAAUGAUCGAGUAGGACUGAAACGAGAAAUGCAACCAAAAAUUACACAGCGAACCACUACGAUAAUCAAAUCCCAAUGCCCUUUACAUAUUGGAAAGUUCCCACUUGAUCUUCCAGAGAAGUGCCGAUUCUACCAGCUCAGACCAGCUCAGACCAGACCUACUCCACCACACAUCAGACCUUCGUGUGAAAUGACUGCUGGAACCAACCUUGUUUGCCAUUUCCAAGACUGAAGACCUCAGUCAAAGAAGCUCUUUAGUCGUCGUCUGUUGGGGUUCAUGAGAUGACAGCAUUUUCCAGGAGGAUGUUGUAAAGUUCCUGUCAUCCCAUUUGUUUCUGAAUGCCUUGGUGCCCAGCAGUGUUUUGUCACGAUACCUUGAAGGGAAACUCACUGAGGUCUCUGGACCAGCAUCUCUGACAAUGUCAGCAUCUUAUCACUGGGCUUGAACUCCACACUCCUGGUACAGAAACUCAAUGACAUCUCUCAGAGCACACGCAGCUACUGCAGCAGCCCGGGAACAAUAUACAGUACGAACAGAAAAGGGUCAAGAAGGGUGGAGGUACUGAAACAAACGUCCCCAACACAUACAUAAACUGGCGUGUCAGAGCAUGAAAUGUGAGGAAUGGAAGAAAAAAAACAUUUGCUGUUGAAGAAGUCAGAAAAAUCAGUGUUGGGUAAGUUUACUAUUUUAGUAAUUAGUCGUUAUUUUAUCUAAACGUGUUUUAUUUUAUCCAGUUUCAUCUUCUAAUCCUUUUCAGUAAGUAAAUGUAGCUUUUUCUUGUAGCUACAAUUAAGGGUCAUUAUAAAUAAUUGUUCCUUCAUAAAUGUUUUUUACUUACAAGCAGGGACCUUGGUUACACGGUUUACCUAGAAAAGGUCUAUACAUCCACAGGAACAUCCAGUGCUGUUGGGGUUUUUACAGAACGGACUGCCAGAUACGCAUUAAGAGGAUACCACAUGGUACUGUAUAGCGUCUGCAGGCAUACAGAUGGUUUCAGAACAUUUUGUUGACUUUAACAAAAAAACAAACAAACAAAUGCAUGCCUUUUCUAAUGUCAGGUCUUGCUUUUGCUUUGCUGUUAUAUUCUGACUUUUUAGUAUAUAAUAUUAACACCAAAUGUUUUCAGAAAACCUGUAUUACUGGCGGCAUCAACAUAGGACCAUGCAAGAGGAGGCCACUCGGCCCACUUGGUCGUUAGUGGUUAAUAGAUCUGAGGAUCCCAUCCAACCGUUUCUUCAAAGAAACCAGUGUAUCGGCUUCAACAACAUUUGUAAAUGUCAGUCAGCCACAAAAAAUAUGACCUUUCAUUUCUUUAGCCCAGAAAUCAUAUCUUUGAAAGAGCUUUUAUUUUCCAAGCACUAUGUUGGAAUAAGUAAAGUGCAUUUUUAGCCAACGAUAUGAGGAAGUUGCGUGUGAAGGCACUUUGGAAACUGACAGAUCAGGUGAUUUUGCUUUAGAAUGAUACUGUGAACAGAAAUGAAUAACAUAAGGAGAUGGAGCACAAUUUGCAGUCACUCAAUGGACUGUAGGGCAUGUACUCUUAAUGCUGUCAGGCCCCAAAAUGGACCAUUAACAACAUUGUUAAUCUUCUUCUUACAUUAGAAAACACGCAAUUUAAAAGAAAAUGUUUUAGCAUGAAUCAUUCUAACAUGAAAGUUGAAAUAAAAAAGACAUUUGAAAUGUAGCCCAUAUGCUAACAGAUUUGACUUAAAUAUAAAUAUAAGCUCGUAGCUUUCAUUCAGAAAAGAGCUCAAGUAUAGUAACUUAUGUAUAUGUUUUUCAUCUUACAGAUGAGACCUAUAUAAAAAUAACUUUUUCUACGUACAUGGUAUACAGUAUGUAUGUUUGAACAAAUGUUCAAAGAAGUCUUAUACUAGUAGGAAGUAGGGGUUAAUGUCAUGCUGGAAAGCAGAAAGAAAAAAAAACAUGACAUUUCAGCCCUGGAGCCUAACUCAGUUUUCUGUUUUUCUUCCCUCUGCUUUUCUGCGUGGAGUGAACCUCUACAGGCCUCACACUGGCAAAGUCUCCCGCUCGGACCCCUGGGUGGACCCGACCUUGUAGCUGAAUAGAUGAGAUCUACGGCCUUUGGUAGCUGUUUGGUUUUUUAAAAUGAUUUCAGCAAGACUGAUCACCUCCUUUCACCUAGCUGCUAUCUUGGGCGGGGCGGUGGCUCUGUGGCUCAGGAUCUGCGCCUGUGGCUGGAAGGUUGACAGUUUAUAUCUCUUGGCU